CCUACGGGGGGCAGCAGUGAGGAAUAUUGGUCACUGGACGAGAGUCUGAACCAGCCAAGUAGCGUGAAGGAUGACUGCCCUAUGGGUUGUACACUUCUUUUAUAUGGGAAUAAAAUGUUCCACGUGUGGGAUUUUGUAUGUACCAUAUGAAUAAGGAUCGGCUAACUCCGUGCCAGCAGCCGCGGUAAUACGGAGGAUCCGAGCGUUAUCCGGAUUUAUUGGGUUUAAAGGGAGCGUAGGUGGAUUGUUAAGUCAGUUGUGAAAGUUUGCGGCUCAACCGUAAAAUUGCAGUUGAAACUGGCAGGCUUGAGGACAGUAGAGGUGGGCGGAAGUCGGGGGGGAGCGGUGAAAUGGUUAGAUAUCACGAAGAAAUCCGAUUGCGAAGGCAGCUCAAUGGACUGCAACUGACACUGAGGGUCGAAAGUGGGGGUAUCAAACAGGAUGAGAUACCCGGGUGGUC
rnacentral:rRNA from 1 species